UGCUGCAUACGAAAUAACUUGAAAGUUUCAGCAUCAGAAUAUCAAAGUGCAUCCAAAGAUUUUUCAGUCACAGAAAUCCACUUACAGAAGCCAGAAGAUUUCAUAAAAGCAGGUAGUCAGUAGCUCAUCCUGUAUUUUACUGAUGUAUUUAUUGAUUAAGUAGAGAAGGAGGUUGGAAGGGAAACAGAGGUUGUGUUCAAAGUCAAAAAAAUAGCCAGGUAUGGGAAGAACUGAUAACAGCAUGGAAGUGUCUAAAUCACCAAAGUUCUAGGUACCUAAGCAGUGAAAACAAAUUAUUGGAAUAGGCUAGAUAUUUCUGAAAAGUGGACAAAGGAUUUGGAAUGUGUUCAUCUUCAUCUAGCACAGCUAUCCACAGUCAUGUUCUCCAGACCUCUGAUCUGUUUGUAACCCUCCUCUGCACUCUCUCCACUUGAUCUGCUUUUCCCUUGGGAAACAGCUGAGAAAUUGCCUGCAGCCCAUGAAGAAAAAGCAUUAUUUCCUCUGUCUCAAAUAUGAAUCUUCUAUUUGUACAUGCUUUGUUCACUUGCUCCACAAUUGUCUGAAAAGAGGAGGAAAGAGGAUGAAGAAGGGAAAUCCCUAAAUUUCCCCAAUACAGGCAAAACUUCGAGGUGAAGUAAAACCGACUAAAAAUACUUUGUGCAUCUUCCUGCUCAUAGAGACAUUGUUUGCCCUUUUCACACUGUUGACACUGUUGAAUCACAUCUGAUUGUCAUCUUUUGUAAGGCCUAAAUCUUUUUCUUCUAAAUUGCUUCCUAGACUUCACCUUGGACUGGCACAGUUGAUUGUCCUUGGCAAGAUUUCUAGACUAGGUUGGUUGCCUCUGGUUUUCUUUUCUCAGAAUAUGUUUCUCAAAUUUGCCAGGAUGGUUUUGCAUUCUUAUACUGUCUUUAAGUGCACUGCGCAUCCCUCCCAGCUAUAAGCAUGGCAAAUUAGGCCUUGUGAGGUCUGUUAUAUAAGUAAUAGCAAAACAAUUUAUAAAGAAAAGCAUAGUGUUAUUUCAUUGGACAUUGUUUUUCUCAUCUGUGAGAAUAAAUUAAAUAAAUAAAUGUGGGACUUGUGCAACCCCAACAUUAACUGCAUGGUCUCUGUCCAUAAUAUUAUACUCCAGCAUGUGUCACCUGCAUCCAGACUCUGUCCGUAUUGGAAUUGACUCUGUAUUAGCUACUGAACAGUAUCUGGGGAUCAUCUGAGGCUGAUCUUUAGUCCAACCUAGAACUGUGUGAGAACAAUGUAAUUGGGUAAUCAAGUUCCAUUGCCUGGGAACCUCCCCUGGUUUUCUGUUUAAUUUAAUAGUAUUGACUUUGCCAGUGUUAGCAGACAAAUCUAAAUGAAGCAAAUUUGACAUUUGGAACCUGAUGGCAUGGUCUCUGUUGUAUGCAGGCUCUAAGCAUACCCACUCAUGUUUGACAAUAAGAGUCAUUAAGAUAAGAAGUGUUCCUAUUUGGCAGUGUAAAGCAUAUGUCUACCUACCUACCUUUGGCUGAAAAACAGUAAAUUACGGGUUAGGAUUAAUCUGAUCCAAAACUUUUCUGAGUGAAUGAGUUAAAAAUAGGCAAAAAUAGGCAGAAAAUUAUAAUGAGUACUUCUGCAGCUGAAUGGCUCACUGAUCCCAAACCCAGCACCUAUACAACACGUUGUUAGUAUGCCCGUAAACUGGUCUCUCAGAAGAGUCUAUACAAAGAAAAAACUGAAUUCCCAAUGCCAGUGAGAAAGAAUGGUUUAUGUUCCAGUAUAUCUGGGUGGGUAUCUUGUUCCCUGCGCUAAUUAUUGCUGAAAUAUUACAUUAUUCUUUGUCAGUUAAAGGAUAGCAUAUUUCUUCUUUCCCUUGUGCCCAAUCAUUCAUCAAUGAAUUAAAUGAAGUACAAGAUUGGGCAUGAACUUUUGACGCUGUAUUUGGCAUCAACAGAGCAGUUCAGUAAUCUCUAGUGCUGCCAUUUGUUGGUUUGUUAGAGACAGAGGAAUGCUCUGUUUGUCCAAGUUCUUGUACUAGAGCCUAUCCUAGGACAUUUCAGCUUAUGCAAGUACACGUAAGCAGGCUGGACAAGUCAGCAUUUGAUAAAAGUAUUUGUGUGCUAUCCAAAAUUAUUUAGCAUCUACCUGCCCUUGUGGUGCCCAAGGCCAAACGUUAGAUUCAGAAAAUAAUAUUCAUCAACCAUGAAACCUUGAAUAUUCAUAAGAGUACUGGGAAGGCUUCAAAUUUUUUCCCUUAACCUUAUCUAGAAACUACCACGGCUGUAUACCACAAUAUUUGUUACAGAUAACUUGAACAGGUUGAGAAUGGUGCACAACGGAGCAGAAGCUUCUUUUACAACCAGGAGUGUAAGUGGAACAUCACAGCUGUUAAUGCUUUGACUAUCUCAUGAAGGACAGAAACAUGAAAAUAAAUGGCUCUGAAAAAAUCUUAGGGGUGGCAGAGGACAAAAAGCACCAUGUUCCCAGCUGUAUUCAUGUGUUAGCUCUCUAGGGCUGUCUGGGAGUGCUGAUAAAUUUCACCUCUUUCACACAUUGGAGGCAAUUGUAAUAGGCAUUUGUUAACUCCUCACCCCCAUGCUUUACAGCAAGACUUUUCAGUGAUGUCUGCUUAGAUAACAUUUUAUUCCCCUUCUGCACAUUCUUUCUUCCUAGAGACCUAGCUGAAGAGUUUUGUUGCUGAGCGAUCUGCUAGGAUUCCACAGUAGGAAUACCCAGCAGUGUGCUUCAUAUUUUUGGCUCUUACUGAAAUACUCUUUCCAUUGUGAUAUUCAUUCUAGUUUUGGCUCAAUUCAAAGUUCUAGAUAAAAAAGGGAGCAAGGAGAGACUGGAAGAACCCAGUUCUUCCACAGUUCAGUGAGGGAAAGAAUAAAGUCUUCAAGUGAUUGGUAGUGCAGUU